UGACAGCAACAUUGUUUGAGUAUCCUGAAAACGGGCUUUUCAGAAUAAUGUUGCAGUGAAUAAAUAUUGUAGGAGUGCAUA
rnacentral:sRNA from 3 species